AGGCUUAGCAACAUCCACAAUGGUGCAAUGCACAUGGAUUCUGGCUCUGGUAAUGGACAGGGAGCAGACCCUGGAGAGAGGGCCACACCUACCCUAAUGACAGUCUCCAGGGUCUCCGUCCAGCCUGAGCACCCUGCAUGGAGCCUGGCCUGAAGUGCUCCAGCUCAGAGGAGGAGGAGGGAGAGGCAGGCACCUUCUGUCCAACAGGAAGAAGGAACCCAAGACUGAAGACCCACGGCUACAGGAUGGCUCGGGGGACUGAGCUGGAAAAAAAAGGCCUCAGAGGGGAAAUGGAGGCCCAGAAAGCUUUGGUGAGCAGCUCAAGAUUGCACAGGACAUGGAGACCAGAACUCAUGUUUCCUCAAAUAGUUCAUUUCCAGGGGGCUUUUAGGCUAUUACUUCUAUAAUCUGCCCUCUGUCUGCCUCAGGGACUCUCCCCUCCAACCCCCAUUUGGACCAUGAACUGUUGCCAAUGGCACCAAGGAAGCAUCAACUGAUACUGGGCAGAAGGGCAGGGCAGUGGCCCCUGGGAGUCUUCAUGGCUCCUCUGGCAGAAAGUACCUGGAAGCAUCAGCUCAUGGACCUGGAGCAUAUCAGCAAGAACAGGGAUAAACUGUACCGGAUCACCACCCUGGCACUACUCAUGAGAAACUUUCCCAACUAUUGUGCUUGGUUGACUUGGCCAGGAAGGAGUUAACACACAACAUGUGAGGAGUACACUGAGUAGGGAGCUGUGUUCUGGGGUGACCUGUGGGUAUCUGGGCCCAUUUAAUGCACCAAGUCUUCAAAUAGUGGCAGCCAUCACAGGCUCUCCUGUCUGCUUGUGCAUGCACAUGGGGAUCCUUCACUUGGUGGCUUCUCCCCAAGCAAACAUUUUUAGCCCAGCCUGGUUUCUCCUCACUGCCCUCUGUACCCUGGGAAAUGCAACCCACAUUGUCCGAAUCAGACUUAAUUAGACCGGCAAAUCGGUGGCUCUCAAGUCAUCACAGCACACUCCAAGCACAAGAGGAAAUGCUGUGUAGGUUAUCCUGUGUGCUGCUUGUUGUGUCUGUUUGUGUUUCCUUGGAUUAUCCAUUCUCUGCUCCCUGCCUUCCAUCACCUCACUAAUGGAGAGGCAGGAUGCAGUCCUCCACAGGCCAGCAUUCAUCUUCCCAGUCUGACCCUCUUGGAGGCUAUUACGCUGCUGUCGCAAGAUCGAUGAGGGGAGAAAAAUGAAAACAGUGCACAGGGAACAAUGGAAGGCAAAUGGGACUCUUUUAGAACUGGAUCCACUGAUACAUCAGGCCAAGGAGAAAUGACCACAAGCUCUGAAAAGUGGAGAGCUCCCCCAGACAGCAAAGACAGGUGAGUGGGCUUCCCCACUGGGCUGCCCACAGGAAGAGGCCAGGCUGGUGGGGAUAGAAGGGUGUCUCUCUGCAGAAGGCUGGGCAGCCUAGGCCCCACAAAAUGAGAAGAAGGUUACUGAGGUCAUUGCUGCCCCUGCCUCAAUUAAAAAAUUAGAAAUUCUCCCCACCCAGCUCUGUUUCUUUCCCCACAAAGCAUUGCAGAAGAAAACACAGAAGCCGCCAGCACUAUUAUGCAUUCAUGAUUCCAGCUUCAACCAAUCCUCUCUGCUGCAAUCCCUUUAUUCCUCCCCUGCAGCUGCCCCGGCACCUCUGCACAGUCCUUUUCUGGAUCUGCCCCUCACCGUGCUCCCCACCUGCACCCCGUCCUCAGAACAGAUUGCCUUGCCUGACCUCCUGAGGCCGAUGGAGAUGGAGAUGGUGGUGUGACCCCCUUUGCCCUCCAUCACUGUGCUUCCCACACCUCUGCGCAGCUCGUUCAUUCUCUCCCUCCACUCUGACUUAAGGGAAGAGGAAUUUUAAAACCAACCUCAUCCCUUCCCACCUCCUCAGGAAACUCACUCCUUUGCUUACCCUCUCUCCACUUUUAAAAAUAACAAUAAAAAUGCCCCUUUUGCCUGUUAUUCCUUCUAAGCAC